GACGAAAGCUGGCGGCGUGCCUAAUACAUGCAAGUAGAACGCAGUUGAGAACGGGUGAGUAACGCGUAGGUAACUGCCUCAAAGAGGGGGAUCACCAUUGGAAACGAAAGCUAAUACCGCAUACUGUGAGAUGGACCAGCGUUGUAUUAGCUAGGUGGUGAGGUAAAGGCUCACAAAGGCGACGGAACAUAGCCGACCUGGCAGGGUGGUCGGCCAAACUGGGACUGAGACACUGCGCAGACUGCGACGGUAGGCAGCAGUAGGGAGUCGGCGGAAGUGGACGGAAGUCUGACCGAGCAACGCCGCGUGAGUGAAGAAGGUGUUCGGAUCGUAAAGCUCUGUUGUUUGAGAGUCGGUAACUAACCAGAAAGGGACGGCUAACUACGUGCCAGCAGCCUCGGUAAUCC
rnacentral:rRNA from 1 species